rnacentral:lncRNA from 1 species
GGGGGACCCUCCUGACCUGGGAAGUAACUUUAUGGAGCUAUCAGGAGCUAGUGUAUUUUUACAUACUGGUUGCAGCUGUCUGGGAACACUUAAUUGCCCUUCCUUCAUGGUCCAAGCAUGGGCCUUUUAUCAUUUCAAGGAUGUUUGGUCCUUGUUCCCUUCAAGGGCAGGAGCCUUCUGCACCUGAGAAAGGUUUCUGGAUCCAGCUGAAGAGCUCUAUCAUUCCAUCAAAACCAUGAGAACUGCCUGAGCUAACACUGACUGCUACUUGAAUCUUGUGAGAAGCCUGAGACAGAAGGGCAGCCACACUCUGGGUACCCAGCUGUGCCACUCUGAAUUCUAGAGUGUCUUUAACCUAGCGGACUUGGUAGUCACUCAGGUUAUAGCAAGAGACAGCUGAUUUAUGAUAGCUUCAAGUGUGGUGUGCCGGCUAUCUUGAUUGUCAGCUCGGCGGGAGUUUAGAACUACCUAGGAGAUAAGCUCAAGUGUGUCUGUGAAGAUGGUUCCAGAGGUGAAACUAAGGAAUGGAAACAUGAAAGUGGGUGACACCCCACACACACUGGGCUCCCAGACUGAUGGAAGAAAAGGAAAAGGUGAGCUAUACAACAGCACUGCCCCUCCCUUCCUCCCUUCCCCCACUCUGCUUCCUUACUGGAGGCACUAUGUAACCAGCCAUCUCACAUUUCUGCCACCAUGGUGCCUUCCCAGUUGUGACAAACUACACCUUAAGCUCAGAGCCAAACAGACCCUUUCUCCCUUAAACUGAUUUUGUAGAGUAUUUAGAGCAACAAGAAAAAUGAUUAAGACCUACAGACUCUGGAAUUAGUGUCUGAUACAAACCUCAAUCCUAUCAUUACUGGGUGACUGCAGAUAUUUA